UACGUAGGGUCCGAGCGUUGUCCGGAAUUAUUGGGCGUAAAGGGCUCGUAGGCGGUUCGUCACGUCGGGAGUGAAAACUCGGGGCUUAACCCCGAGCCUGCUUCCGAUACGGGCAGACUAGAGGUAGGCAGGGGAGAGCGGAACUCCUGGUGUAGCGGUGGAAUGCGCAGAUAUCAGGAAGAACACCGGUGGCGAAGGCGGCUCACUGGUCCGGUACUGACGCUGAGGUGCGAAAGCUAGGGGAGCGAACUGG
rnacentral:rRNA from 1 species